AACGAACGCUGGCGGCAUGCCUAACACAUGCAAGUCGAACGAGACCUUCGGGUCUAGUGGCGCACGGGUGCGUAACGCGUGGGAACCUGCCCUUAGGUUCGGAAUAACUCCCCGAAAGGGGUGCUAAUACCGGAUAAUGUCUUCGGACCAAAGAUUUAUCGCCUUUGGAUGGGCCCGCGUUGGAUUAGCUAGUUGGUAGGGUAAAAGCCUACCAAGGCGACGAUCCAUAGCUGGUCUGAGAGGAUGAUCAGCCACACUGGGACUGAGACACGGCCCAGACCCCACGGGGAGGCGGCGGGGGGGAAUAGAUGGCAGUGGGCGAAAGCCUGCCCCGGCAGUGCCGCGGGGGGGAAGAGGGCGUUGGGGUUGAAAAGCUUUUUUCCCCGGGCUUAUAAUGACGGUACCGGGAAAAUAAGCUCCGGCUAACUCCGUG
rnacentral:rRNA from 1 species